AAUGACCCAUGACCCUUGGAGUGUGAUAUUAAGCAUGCUUUAUACCAGAAGAAGAAAGACCCCUCCUCAGUAAGGGGUUGAGAAAGUGAGAGUAUUUAAAUCUUCCUGGAAACGGUUCAGCACAGCCUUGUGCCCAGGUCCUGCGAAGUAUUCCUCCUUGUGAUGACCCAGGGGUACCUGAGACAGAGAAGAAGGUCAUCUCACAGUCACAAGCUUCAGCUGUCCGGGUCCAUGGCACUCAGACUAUCCAGUUCCCAGACCUUCUCUUCACAUCCUCACCACCUCACUGACCUGUCCCCGAGAUAGCCGCAGCCUCAGCCCAAGUUCCGCCUCUGCCCGCAGCCCGACAAGCCACAGCCGCACUUGGUUGUUGGACCCC